GAAAAAUGAGUGAGAGCUGAGCUGAUGUAUUGUUGCCUUCAGGUGUGGAUUUUAUCACAGGUGGUACUCGCUAGUUGUUAGUAAUGCCACGGCACCUGGAGCUCUGUGGUUAUAAAAGGGCUCCUUGCAGCAGGCUUCAGUGACCACUUAGCAUUUCAUUAAGUGGGCCGUCUAAAGAGUGCUCAGAGAAAACUUAAAUUCUGCCGUUUGGUUUGUAAUUGUGGCCCUAGGCUUGGUGGGAGACAGCAUCAGGAACUCAUCGCUAAGUUUCUCUUGCCUAAAAAGACAACUGUGAGCCUUGGUAACUUUGUUGAUGUCAAGGUGAGAGAGCAAGAAGAAGGAAAUAACAACAAAACUGGCAAGGAAAGCAAUGCGAGGCUGAGGUUACAUUCAGGACACGAACCUUGCCUCAGGCUAUGGCAUCCAGCUCACUCAGGAUCCUGGAUAUGGAAGCCCAUCAGGGCCUGUUUGUAAGGCAAUCUGAAGUGUGGCCGUUUUGCUGUUGCACAAAGGAGAAGUGGGCAUUCCCAUAAUUCACUUUGGCAAGAAACCAGACAGAGAUCUAUGGGACUUUAUAAAAAUGGAUCCCACCAGCUGUGCAUCUGCCGAACUGACAUUCAGCUCUCCAAACUGCACUUUUUCAAAAAGAUUCAGCUACCAAAUGACGUACUCUGGAACAGAUCCCCAGUCUGUAGUGUGAUUAGCCUGAAGAUGAGGAAUGUGGACUCUGGCCUAAGAAGAUUAAAAAUUAGGAACAUGAAUUAUGACCUGGAGCAUUCUGGAAAUGGGACACCCUCUUCUUUCUGAACUAAAACAGGACCACUCUAAACCCUGAAGUGCAGAUACUCAUGGUGUACAUGAGAUCAAACUUGAUUAUGAAUGUCAGGACAUAACACGUGGAGUAAGGACAAGGGGAAUUCUAACAUUUUCAUCCCUGUAUAAGGAAAUCACAAACAGGAGGAAGAACUAGAAAGAACAUCCUCUACAUCCUUCAUGCAUGUACUAAUCGUCAAGGUAUCAUGCAAAGAGUAGGCAGUACGUAUGAAUGUGAUUGCUUCAGUUUGAACCAUGCUGCCAACAUCUGUUAUCCAAAUGAAAAUGAUUCCAUUCAUAUCCAGAGCUUAAAUACACACAUGUACAAAGGAGUUUUUUCUGGUUGCCAGGGGAACAGCCUGUGUGCUCUGAUGUGCUCAGUAAUACAUAGCAAACACCCCUCAGGACUGUGAGCUGCAGUUAUACCAUACCUAGAGCCAUUUUAGAAGGAGUUUCUGAAUUCUGGAAUUUGUCAUGACUGUUUUUUUGUCUGUGAUGCAGUAAAGGGAGAAAAACAUCAUUUGUUGCAACUGUGAAAGCUGGUGCUGGUAGUGAAGUCUGAUCACAAUGCAAAAACAUUUAGUUUAAUGGUGAUAACUUAUGUCGUGUUUUAUAUAUAUGUAUAUUUAUCUACCUAUCUACCUGUCAGAUAAGCAAGUCUAUGAUUAUCUGUAUUUGUUUGAACUACUGAGCUAUGAUCUAAGUUUUCUAUUGAUGCAAUCAUCUUUUCCCAAAUCACUAAAUAUGUUCUGAAUCCCUCAGGAUGUUAUAACUCAGUUUAUUCAAAAUUUUCUUUCUUGAAGUUAACAAGGAGAAAAAAUGUAUCUUUUGUCCCUCUGCUCAGUCCUCUAUAAAAUGUGCCUAAUAAUUG
rnacentral:lncRNA from 1 species